rnacentral:rRNA from 1 species
UACAGAGACUGCAAGCGUUAUUCGGAUUCACUGGGCGUAAAGGGUGCGCAGGCGGCCAAGUGUGUGAGGCGUGAAAGCCUGGGGCUUAACUCCAGAAUUGCACCUCAAACUACUUGGCUAGAGCAUUGGAGAGGGUAGCAGAAUUCACGGUGUAGCAGUGAAAUGCGUAGAUAUCGUGAGGAAUACCAGAGGCGAAGGCGGCUACCUGGACAAUUGCUGACGCUCAGGCACGAAAGCGUGGGGAGCAAACAGG